AUGGACGGCAAUGGGAGAUCGGCGGCGAGCCACAAGAAGCCUCUCGUCGCGGACAACGACCUGGUGGAGCUGCUGUGGCACAACGGGGCCGUCGUCGCGCAGCCGCAGACGCACCCGAGGCCGGCGCCCAGCGGCCUCGCCGGCGGUGGCGGGGAGACGGCCGCGUGGUUCCGGGACGACGUCGACGUGCUGGGAAACGACGUCUACGCGCAGCUCUGGAACAGCAUUGCGGUGGGCGCCGCCCCGGACGUCGCGUGCGCGGCGCUCCCGGGGCCCAGCUCCCACCCUCCCCCGCCGCCGCCGCCGAUGCGGAGCCGCAUCGCCUCCAGCUGGACCGGCGGGGACAUCGGCUCCACCUUCUGCGGCAGCAACCUGGUCCCGGAGGUGCCGGCGGGGGGCAGGGAGGAAGCGAGCGCCGCACCGCCGUCCGAGGGGACGCGCGGGGCGAGCACCCGCGACGGCGGCGCCGGCACCUCGUCGUCCGGCGGGUCCGGGAGCAACUUCGGGGGCUCCGGCCUGCCGAGCGAGAGCGGCGGCCGUGCCCACAAGAGGAAGGGGAGGGGCAAAGACGACUCCGAUAGCCGCAGCGAGGAUGUGGAGUGUGAGGCGACCGAGGAGACCAAAUCGUCGAGGCGACACGGGUCGAAGCGGAGGAGCAGAGCAGCUGAAGUUCAUAACCAGUCAGAGAGGAGACGAAGGGACCGGAUCAACGAAAAGAUGCGGUCACUUCAAGAACUCAUACCCCACUGCAACAAGGCUGACAAAGCAUCAAUAUUAGAUGAGGCGAUCGAGUACUUAAAGUCCCUCCAAAUGCAAGUUCAGAUCAUGUGGAUGACCACCGGGAUGGCGCCAAUGAUGUUUCCUGGUGCUCACCAGUUCAUGCCGCCGAUGGCCGUGGGCAUGAAUUCGGCAUGCAUGCCUGCGGCACAGGGUUUAAAUCAGAUGGCAAGAAUGCCAUACAUGAACCAUUCAUUGUCAAACCACAUCCCUAUGAACCCAUCUCCAGCAAUGAACCCUAUGUACAUUGCAAACCAGAUGCAAAACAUUCAGCUGAGAGAAGCAAGUAACCAUUUCCUUCACCCAGAUAGCGGGCUAGCAGCGGCACCUCAGGUAGCAGGACCAUAUGCUUAUACACCACAAGUAGCACCGAAAAGCCAGAUACCGGAAGUGCCGGAUUGUACUGUUGCGCCAAUUUCUGGGCCCGGACAACCACCUGCACCUGAUGGAAUUUAG
rnacentral:rRNA from 1 species